rnacentral:SRP_RNA from 1 species
GCUGAGCAGGGUGGUAUGCUUCCUGUAAUCUCAGCUCCCAGGGAGGCUGAGGCUGGCAGAUCUCUUGAGCUUGAGAGUUCUGAGCUACAGUGGGCUAUACCAAUCAGGUACUUGCACUAAGUUCAUCACGAAUACAACAAGCUCCAGGAGCAGGGACCACCAGAUUGUCCAAGGAGGAGUCAACCAGCCCAUGCAUGAAAGUGAGCAAGUCAAAGCUCCCAUGUUGAUCAAUAGUGGGAUUGAGCCUCUGAGUAGUUCCUGUAUUUCCAGCCUAGAGGGUAUAGGAAAAGUCAACCAAU